AAAAUAAAUGGCCAUACUGGCGGGAAGCGAAUUGCUCUUUCACAAACUGCCUCCACAGUAUAUCUUCGACUCCCUUCUUUACUACUUUCGCCGUGACGCUCUUCUGCGACCGGGGAGUUAAAUCGGCGGUGGAAGUAACUACAAUUUCACAAACACGAUUUUGUUAUGAUAAAACGACGUUAUUUUUCUGCGGCAAUAAUGGAGUUAAAUCAGCGCCGGAAGUAACUGCCCCAUCACAAACAUGCUUUUGAUCCUGUACAACUUCUCUCAAUAUUUAACAUAUUGAGAGUAGAGAAUUACAUCGAGCAUUCACCCACCUGCAAUCACGUGGGCUACAUGGUCCCUCCACCUAGGACAUCUCCAUGUGUGCAGGCGUCGACGUAUCAAUUCCAGCAUUUUGUAUGACUUAGAUUGAAUGCUUUAAAUUUGUUAGUGAGAACUCUCUAACGUUAGAUACACUUUUAGUAAACCAUGUAAGUUUGUGCGUCGGUUAAAUUUUCGUGACUUUAUUUUUGAUUACGUUCUAAAAACUUUCAUAUUGUUGAAGAUAUUAUCGUUCCUUAUAAAUUCAUAACCAUCACCUUAUUUAA